AAUUAACGCAGUAAGAUUUAUCGCGACGUCUAGAUUUGUUUCGCGACCGAGUCUUUCAUUGGAAUUCAAAGUUAAGGAAUUACUUCCUAACUCAGACAGCAGAGCUCGCCACCAAUUCGUGAACGACAUUCGUGCUGCGUUAGUUGAAACAGUAAGACGUGUCGAGACAUGUCUGGACAUGUUCAGACCUGUCGAGACAUGUCUAAACCUGCCGGCGUUUCGUAACCAACGUAAUCUCUUUGAUUGGAAUACGACGCCAUGGAAUUGGCGCGUAAACGACACCAUAGAUGGCAGAUAACUCGACUUCCGCCUAUUAUAAUAUUGGCGCGUAGACGUUACCAUGGUAGAUGGCAGAUAACUCGACAUUCGAAG